rnacentral:rRNA from 1 species
AGCAGCCGCGGUAAUUCCAGCUCCAAUAGCGUAUAUUAAAGUUGUUGCAGUUAAAAAGCUCGUAGUUGAAUUUCGGGGUCAGUAGGUCGGUCGUGCCACUGGUAUGAACUGGUUUUACUGAUUCCUCCCUCUUGAAGAACUGUAAUGCCAUUAAUUUGGUGUUGCAGGGAAUCAGGACUGUUACUUUGAAAAGAUUAGAGUGUUUAAAGCAGGCUUUAGCUUGAAUACAUUAGCAUGGAAUAAUGAAAUAGGACGUUUGAUCCUAUUUUGUUGGUUUCUAGGAUUGACGUAAUGAUUAAUAGGGAUAGUUGGGGGCAUUAGUAUUCAAUUGUCAGAGGUGAAAUUCUUGGAUUUAUUGAAGACUAACUACUGCGAAAGCAUUUGCCAAGGAUGUUUUCAUUAAUCAAGAACGAAAGUUAGGGGAUCGAAGACGAUCAGAUACCGUCGUAGUCUUAACCAUAAACUAUGCCGACUAGGG